rnacentral:rRNA from 1 species
AGUCGUUCUGCCCAUUGAAUUUAAAAGGCUGCGGUAUAUUAACUGUACAAAGGUAGCAAAAUCAAUAGUUUUUUAAUUGGAAACUUGAAUGAAAGAGUUGAUAAAAUAUAAAUUGUCUUAAUAAUUGAAUUUAAAUUGAAAGUAAAAAUGCUUUUAUUUUUUUAUUAGACGAUAAGACCCUAAGAAUUUUAUUAUUUAUUUUAUUUUGAUAAAAAAUUAAUUUUAAAUAAUUUUAUUGGGAGGAUAAUUAAAUUAAACUUUAAUUAAUAAUAAUAUUAAUAAAUAUAUUUAAUGAAUAUUUUAAAGAUUAUAAGGAUAAAUUACCUUAGGGAUAACAGCGUAAUAAUUUUGGAGAGUUCAUAUUGAUAAAAUUGUUUGCGACCUCGAUGUUGAAUUAAAAUAAAAAUUAAAUGAAGAUAUUUAAAUUUUUAGUCUGUUCGACUAUUAAAAUUUUAC